UCCUCGCUUGGAAUAUGUACUUCGUAAAAAAUAUAGCUUUCUUCUGCGGACGUAGUUAUGCACAUGUCUAGAAAUUAUCGUGAAACAGUCUAUACCGGAAAGAACUUAAUGCAUUCACGUGAUCUCUGCGUUCUUUGUAUAUAAGGAAUAAUUUCUCUUCCAGUUUCCAGAAACAGGGAAAUAGUCAGUAGAGAGAUGGAUAAAUUUCUAAAGUGUGUUGUGGGUGUAAUUUUGCUACUUUCCCUUUGUUACUCAGAAGUCACUUCAUUGAAUACUACCAGUGUAGCAUCAGGCGGAAAUGGAGGAACUGCUGUCACUGGAAGUAUGGUGAUCGUUGCCAUAGUUAUGACUUUGGGAAAUCUGAUUAUAAACUACUAAUACAGAAACUUUAAUGACUGCGCUAUUCCGAUACUCUAACACAUCGAAACAAUGACUAACACCGAUGGAAUAAAAUCAAAGAAACAUGACCACUGUUACAAUCUUUAGAAGAUGUUUUCUUGAACCUUAAUAAAUUGGAUUUCUCUUAAA